AGAGUUUGAUCAUGGCUCAGAUUGAACGCUGGCGGCAUGCCUUACACAUGCAAGUCGAACGGCAGCACGGGGGCAACCCUGGUGGCGAGUGGCGAACGGGUGAGUAAUACAUCGGAAUGUACCCAGUAGUGGGGGAUAACUAGUCGAAAGAUUAGCUAAUACCGCAUACGCACUAUGGUGGAAAGCGGGGGAUCGCAGGACCUCGCGCUAUUGGAGCAGCCGAUGUCCGAUUAGGUAGUUGGUGGGGUAAAGGCCUACCAAGCCUGCGAUCGGUAACUGGUCUGAGAGGACGACCAGUCACACUGGGACUGAGACACGGCCCAGACUCCUACGGGAGGCAGCAGUGGGGAAUUUUGGACAAUGGGGGAAACCCUGAUCCAGCAAUGCCGCGUGUGUGACGAAGGCCUUCGGGUUGUAAAGCACUUUUGGCGGGAACGAAACGGCGCUUUCUAAUACAGAGCGCUAAUGACGGUACCCGCAGAAUAAGCACCGGCUAACUACGUGCCAGCAGCCGCGGUAAUACGUAGGGUGCAAGCGUUAAUCGGAAUUACUGGGCGUAAAGCGUGCGCAGGCGGUUUCGUAAGACAGAUGUGAAAGCCCCGGGCUCAACCUGGGAAGUGCAUUUGUGACUGCGAGACUAGAGUGUGUCAGAGGGAGGUAGAAUUCCACGUGUAGCAGUGAAAUGCGUAGAGAUGUG
rnacentral:rRNA from 1 species